UGGGGAAUAUUGGACAAUGGGCGAAAGCCUGAUCCAGCCAUGCCGCGUGUGUGAAGAAGGUCUUCGGAUUGUAAAGCACUUUAAGUUGGGAGGAAGGGCAGUAAGUUAAUACCUUGCUGUUUUGACGUUACCGACAGAAUAAGCACCGGCUAACUCUGUGCCAGCAGCCGCGGUAAUACAGAGGGUGCAAGCGUUAAUCGGAAUUACUGGGCGUAAAGCGCGCGUAGGUGGUUUGUUAAGUUGGAUGUGAAAGCCCCGGGCUCAACCUGGGAACUGCAUCCAAAACUGGCAAGCUAGAGUACGGUAGAGGGUGGUGGAAUUUCCUGUGUAGCGGUGAAAUGCGUAGAUAUAGGAAGGAACACCAGUGGCGAAGGCGACCACCUGGACUGAUACUGACACUGAGG
rnacentral:rRNA from 1 species